GGGCGGGGGCGGGGGCGGGGCUCUGCGCCUCUGUCCGGGCCAGACCCGCCGCCUCACCCCCUUUCUGAUUUCUGCCAACUCAAAGGUGGUCCUGAAAGUUUCCAAGGCUGAUCCAAGUUGCUCCUAAUUGUUCCCGGCUGCGGCUGCGAGUGCUUCCUUCCACGUUAGAACCAAAACGAUGCCUUGGUUCUGCAGCAACUUUAAGCAUAUCUUUGCCUCGUCUCGUUGAAUUGUUUAAUUUCAGAAAAUACGAAAACCCGGAGGGUCCCAAUGUGCCUGCAGACAGCAGUCCUCAAAGGUUGCCCAGCUCCCCGGAGAAUCAGUUUCUAAAGCUAAGAUUCAAGGUGAAAAUAUUUGUAGGGGGAAAGUAAUGUUAAGACGGAGAUAAGGGGCCGGUGCUGUGGCCUAGCAGGUUAAAGCCCUGGCCUGUGGCGCCAGCAUCCCAUAUGGGCGCCGGUUCUGUCCUGGUUGCUCCUCUUCCAGGCCAGCUCUCUGCUGUGGCCUGGGAAGGCAGUGGAGGAUGGCCCCAAGUCCUUGGGCCCUGCACUCGCAUGGGAGACCAGGAGGAAGCACCUGGCUCCUGGCUUCGGAUCCCCGUUGUGGCCACCUGGGGAGUGAACCAGCAGAUGAAAGACCUCUCUCUCUCUCUCUACCUCUCUCUGUAACUCUUUCAAAAAAGAUAAAAUAAAUCUUAAAAAAAAAAAAAAAAAAGGAGGUAAAUGCAUAUUGUGUUGCCUUGGUGGUGAUUAGGGAAGAGGUUUUUCCCUGCCCUCUUUCUUCCUUUGAGGUUACUUUCCAAAGUAGCUUUUAUACCUUCACAGUGUCUUCUCUGUGUGAGCCCAUUUUCCCGUACGAUAACAACAUACCCAAGCUCGGGCAUUCUCUACAGAAAGGAGGUUUAUUCGGCUCCAAGUCUGGGAGGUUGCAGGUCCAAGAUCAGUUGCUCUCACUGAUCCACCCUUCAGUGAUGGCCUCACAGCCCUCAACGGUGGCCUCACGGUGGUGGUGGUGGGGUGCGCAGGAGAGGGGGAGACCUCCUGUCAGAUGGGAGCCACAGCACAGGGAGGGGCCAGGCUUGGUCCUUUGACAACAACCCUCUCUGGGGAACUCACUCCGGGUCCCAGGGGAGAGACUUCCAUCCCUACCCAGGGCAGUGCCCCCAAGGACCUCUUGGUAGGCCUCCCCACCACACCACAGCUCACGAAGAGGACCAACACCCAGCACAGGAAGCCUUAGGAGACCAAAUCAAACCAACCCUGAGCAUCCUAUUUCCAAAUAAGGCCAUGCUUAUUUGAGACACCGGGGUUAGGACUUCAUGCCUUUCUGGAGGCCAAAAUGGGUCCAUGUGAAUCACUGUCAACUAAUGAAAUAGUAGCCUUACACCCACACUGAGUAAGGCCAUCCCAACAACUUAGCGGUGGGGAACUUUGGGUGUUGUAGAAGACUCUUAGUAGAUCACAGUGUACCCAGGGAACAAAAGGGAGCUAUGUGUGAUCCCAGUCUAUUGGCAUGAAAGGGAGAUGCCUAUUGCCAUAUGGAAGGCAGUGGAAGGCAGUGGAAACUGGUCACCAGCUGCCUCUAAUCCAGCCUCCUCAGAGUGCCCCAGGCCAGCGACCACACCCAGCACACUGUGCUCUCAGGCCCCGCCCCCAUUGUAAGGACAUCACCUAGACAGCGGUCCUGGCCUUGAAUGUGCCGUGCCUGGGAUUCGUGCUUUUCUCAGCCGAAAUCCCUGGUGUUUAAGCAUAGGACGUGGCUAGUUCCCAGAUGUACUGAUUUCCUAAGGUGACCAUAAAAAUCCGCACAAACUGGAGGUGUGAAACCGCAGGGCUUUGUUUCCUCAGCGUUCUGGCGGGUGGAAGUCUGAAACCCGGGUGUCAGCCCGGCUGCUCCGGACGCCCCAGGAGAUUCUGUUCCGGUGGCACCCAACAGCCCUUGGCUUUCCUCGGCUUACAGAGGCUUCCGUUCCACCCCCUCCCCAUUUAAACCAGCAGCUGCUUCCCAAGACCAUCGUCCCUUAGCAGUAUCCAAAUGCCUGCCCCCCUUUUAAAAUGAUUUAUUUAUUUGAGAGGCAGAGUUAUAGACAGAGAGAGGGAAAGACACAGAGAAAGGUCUUUCAUCUGCUGGUUCUCUCCCCAGUUGGCCACAACAGCCAGAGCUUGGCUGGUCCAAAGCCAGGAGCCAGGAGCCAGCAGCCAGGAGCUUCUUCCAGGUCUUCCAUGUGGGUGCAGGGGCCCAAGCACUUGGGCCAUCUUUGGCUGCUUUCCCAGGCCAUUAGCAGAAAGCUGGAUCAGAAGAGGAGCAGCUAGGACAUGAAAUGCCACCCAUAUGGGAUGCCAGCGCCACAGGCGGAGGCUUAGCCCACCACACCACAAUGCUAGCCCCUCAAAUGUCCUUCUUUGUAAAAGGAUACCCCCCAAUAAUAUCCCAGUAUGGCCUCAUCAUAACUUAAUUACCUCUUCAACAACCCUAUUUCCAAAUAAGGAAAUAUUUUGAGAUACUAGGGUUAGGUUUCAGUAUAUAUGUUGGGGGGUAGGGGGAAUUCAACCCAAAACACCAAGCAGGGAUUUUCUUACUACUUCUCUUUACUGGGCUCUGUGUUUGAAAAUACUCAUGCACAUCCAUUUUCCUAGUUUCUUUUGUUAAAAUUCAUUCAAAUAGGCAUUCAGUUCCGGAACGAGGGGACAUAUAAUCAACUCCUCGCAUCAAGACACAGUCACAUGUCACAAACCACUCUACCAACGACAGACUGUGUACGACAGUGGUCCCACGGGUGCCUAUUGGAAUUGACAACUUCCUGGGAUCCAGAGACAUCAUAGCAUUGUUGCGCAAUGUGCAACCUACGCCUCCUGUGUUUGCAGUGAUGUCCUAUUCUAAAAGGUGGACUCAACAGCAACCUCAGGAGGGCCCAGCUGGAGGCAUCGUCAUCACCAGAGGCGACAGCUCCGUGCUUGCCGUCGGCCCUACAGCGCUUCCAGUGGGACAAGGCGAGAAGUGCAAGACAGAUCCUGGUGAUCCUGACCCUGCACGGGCAGAGGCUGAUGCAUGGGUUUGGGUCUCAGUUUUGAACAAAAAGGUUUUACAAGUUAAAAAAAAAUGAAAAUUAACAGUAAAAAAUCUCAUAGAAUAACCUUAAAAAUUUUUUGUAUAGCUGUACAAUGUGUGUGUGUUUUAAAGUGAACAUUAUUACAAAAGAGUCAAAAAGUUUUUUAAAAAUUAACUGUUUAGAGGCUGGUGCUGUGGCAUAGUAGGCCAAGCCUCCACCUGUGGCACCGGCAUCCCAUAUGGGCACAGGUUCAUGUCCUGGCUGCUCCACUUUUUAAAAAAUACUUUUAUUUAUUUAUUUGACAGGUAGAGUUACAGCAGGUAGAGGAGCAGCCAGGACUAGAACCAGCUCCUAUAAGGGAUGCCAGUGCCACAGGCGAGGCUUAGCCCACUACGCCACAGUGCCAGUCCCUGGCUGCUCUACUUCCAAUCCAGCUCUCUGCUAUGGCCUGGGAAAGCAGGAGAAGAUGGCCCUAGUGCUUGGUCCUCUGCACCCCCGUGGGAGACCCGGAAGAAUCUCCUGGCUCCUGGCUCAGAUCAGCCCAGCUCAUUUGGGGAGUGAGUCAGUGGAUGGAAGACCUCACUCUGUUUCUCCUUCUCUCUCUCUCUCUCUCUCUCUCUCUGUAA